rnacentral:rRNA from 1 species
UACGGAGGGUGCAAGCGUUAUCCGGAUUCACUGGGUUUAAAGGGUGCGUAGGUGGGCAGUUAAGUCAGUGGUGAAAUCUCCGAGCUUAGCUCGGAAACUGCCAUUGAUACUAUCUGUCUUGAAUAUCGUGGAGGUAAGCGGAAUAUGUCAUGUAGCGGUGAAAUGCUUAGAUAUGACAUAGAACACCAAUUGCGAAGGCAGCUUACUACCCGAAUAUUGACACUGAGGCACGAAAGCGUGGGGAUCAAACAGG